UUUCGCAAUGCCCGAAAGGGUGACGAAGCGACGCCGCGUGCGGGAAGAAGGCCUUCGGGUUGUAAACCGCUGUCGGGAGUUAAGAAAUGUAAGGAUGUUAAUAGCAUCUUUACUCGACUAAGGCUCCGGAGGAAGCCACGGCUAACUCUGUGCCAGCAGCCGCGGUAAUACAGAGGCGGCAAGCGUUGUUCGGAAUUAUUGGGCGUAAAGAGCACGUAGGCGGCUAUGUAAGUCGGUUGUGAAAGCCUUCCGCUCAACGGGAGAACAGCAUCCGAUACUGCAUGGCUUGAGUGCGGGAGGGGAGAGUGGAACUUCUGGUGGAGCGGUGAAAUGCGUAGAUAUCAGAAGGAACGCCGGCGGCGAAAGCGGCUCUCUGGCCCAUAACUGACGCUGAGUGUGCGAAAGCUAGGGGAGCAAACGGGAUUAGAUACCCCGGUAGUCCUAGCCGUAAACGAUGGGCACUAAGUAGAGGGGUUUUA
rnacentral:rRNA from 1 species